AUUGAACGCUGGCGGCAGGCCUAACACAUGCAAGUCGAGCGGAUGAAGGGAGCUUGCUCCUGGAUUCAGCGGCGGACGGGUGAGUAAUGCCUAGGAAUCUGCCUGGUAGUGGGGGAUAACGUCCGGAAACGGGCGCUAAUACCGCAUACGUCCUGAGGGAGAAAGUGGGGGAUCUUCGGACCUCACGCUAUCAGAUGAGCCUAGGUCGGAUUCGCCAGUUGGUGGGGUAAAGGCCUACCAAGGCGACGAUCCGUAACUGGUCUGAGAGGAUGAUCAGUCACACUGGAACUGAGACACGGUCCAGACUCCUACGGGAGGCAGCAGUGGGGAAUAUUGGACAAUGGGCGAAAGUCUGAUCCAGCCAUGCCGCGUGUGUGAAGAAGGUCUUCGGAUUGUAAAGCACUUUAAGUUGGGAGGAAGGGCAGUAAGUUAAUACCUUGCUGUUUUGACGUUACCAACAGAAUAAGCACCGGCUAACUUCGUG
rnacentral:rRNA from 1 species